GAUGAAGAACGUAGCGAAAUGCGAUAAGUAGUGUGAAUUGCAGAAUUCAGUGAAUCAUCGAAUCUUUGAACGCACAUUGCGCCCCUCGGUAUUCCGUGGGGCACGCCUGUUCGAGCGUCAUUUACACCCUCAAGCGCAGCUUGGUGUUGGGCGUCUGUCCCGCUCUCCGUAGCGCGGACUCGCCUCAAAGUCAUUGGCGGCGGUCGUGCCGGCUCCUCGCGCAGCACAUUUGCGCUUCUCGGAGGCCCGGCGGAUCGGCAUCCAGCAAGCUACUUUUUAUGACUUGACCUCGGAUCAGGUGAGGAUACCCGCUGAACUUAAGCAUAUCAAUAAGCGAGGA
rnacentral:misc_RNA from 1 species